rnacentral:rRNA from 1 species
AAGCUUGCUUCUGGAUUUCUGUUUUGCUUAGUGGCGACGGGUGAGUAACGCGUGAGCAACCUGCCUUACAGAGGGGGACAACAGUUGGAAACGACUGCUAAUACCGCAUAACGUGCCGAGAGGACAUCCUUUUGGGUACCAAAGGAGCAAUCCGCUGUAAGAUGGGCUCGCGUCCGAUUAGAUAGUUGGUGAGGUAAACGGCCCACCAAGUCGACGAUCGGUAGCCGGACUGAGAGGUUGAACGGCCACAUUGGGACUGAGACACGGCCCAGACUCCUACGGGAGGCAGCAGUGGGGGAUAUUGCACAAUGGAGGAAACUCUGAUGCAGCAACGCCGCGUGAGGGAAGAAGGUUUUCGGAUUGUAAACCUCUGUUUUUAGUGAAGAAACAAAUGACGGUAGCUAAAGAGGAAGCCACGGCUAACUACGUG